rfam:Octopus bimaculoides Scaffold48055_contig_37, whole genome shotgun sequence.
GCCGUGAUCGUCUAGUGGUUAGAACUCUAUAUUGUGGCCAUGACAACCUAAGUUCGAAUCCUUGUUACGGCA